UAUUCACUGAGGGUACUUCCUCAAAAGGCUGAACCCAGGAAUGCUGGGAGCUUUUGGUUAACACCUUUAGACUAUUAGAAUCUGAACGGGCUUUGCCAGAUCAUCAGCUGUGGUGCAACAGGGUCUUGCACAGAUGAGAUUACAUCCACCCUGGGCAGCUUUCUUGAGCCUUGGGGGACCAGCUUAAUGAUGAACCCUAAUUUUCUGUUGUCCCUUGCUGCCUAUCUGUACGUAAUAAACCCGCUUUAUGUAAUUAGUUUAUGAGGAUUCUGUCUCACCAGACUCAGAAGACUGCGAGCGAUCUGAAUGCAACACUCGGAGCACUCAAAUGUGAGCAGAAAUACAGCUUUUCAUGUAAACUAAGUGAAGAAGGAGACAACAGCUCAACAAGCAUAAAGGGAGAUGCUCAGGCUUGUUGGCAAUCAGACAGUGGUAAGAUGGACACCUAAAGUGUGAUGAGUACGCCCCAGGAAAUGUUUUGCAGCAGGGAGAAGCAAUGGACUGGAUGUAUACAUCAAAGC
rnacentral:lncRNA from 10 species